CGGGGUGGGACGGGGAACCUCGCCUGGCAGCUCUCCGCCCUCACAAGACUCCCACAAUCAGGGCCGGAAUGUAAAUGCAGGCAUGCGAUAUAACAGUCCCGCACAUCUGCAGCAGGAGGAUGGAAAGUCCCAACAUUCCGAACUAACCCCGUUCCCCGGGAUUCUUUGGAAGCCAUGGCUCUUUCACGGGGUCUGAUUCUGCUUUGAAGGUACAUUGCAGCGCUGUCCCUUGGCUCCACCCCCACGUGCUUUGAACUUACCCCCGUCAUCCUCAGGGGGUUGGCCAGGACUUGCUAGUGCUUCUAAUUGGGACAGACAGAACUUGGCAGAAGAAAAAGGGAUCUCCGCGAGGCUUCAUGAGAGCACAAAUGGAUGAGCAAGACUCAGCUGACCCUGAAGCAGGAAGAGGCCAUGCUAUCAAAACUGGGAGCAGUGGGAGUUUCUGGGGAAACUCGCUGCAGAAGGUCCUGGGUGAGGAGGACACCCUCUGCUCAGAGGUGCAGAGCCAGCAGUUCAGGCAGCUCUGUUCCCUGGAGACUGAAGGACCCCGAGAAGUUUGCAACCAAUUUUACCGUCUUGAUGGUCAGUGGCUGAAGCCAGAAAGGCAUACAAAAGUUCAGAUGCUGGACCUGGUGAUCAUGGAGCAGUUCCUGGCUGUCCUUCCACUAGAGAUGGAG